UAAUGUGAGAGCAGCAUUAUUUCAUCGUCACUGCACCGAGUGACAGGAUAUCUGGUCUCCCUGGCUAGGUUGGCAUUUCCUUUCUCCCUCACUACCCAAAAUACAAUUGACCAAGAGGCUGACCUUUCCAUGGUGAAAAAGUGCUGUUUGGUCAUGGGAAUACAAGUUGCUAUCCUCUCAUGGUAGAAUGUGCAAGCAAGCUUAUAAAGAACAUAAAGAACAGCUUAAAUGUCCUCCCAUUACAGCAUAUGGAAUUUUCAUCAUUGUGAUACUG
rnacentral:sRNA from 1 species